GAGAGAGAGCAGGGAGGGAGCUUUAAAUGGGGGACAAAUGGACAACCAAUGACUGCAUCCCGGGAAUACACGUUUUGAAUAGAAGCGAGCCAAUUUGCACAUUAUUUUGGAUUUUUUGUUGUUGUUGUUUUUUUCACCGUGGUAACUUUUUUAAUAUAUAUAUUUUUUAAUUUUCUUUUUACCUCAUAUACAAUAAAAUAGUGUUUUUUUGUUUGUUUUUUUGGCAGCAAUUUUUGCCUAUUUUUCCCACUUUAUCCUGGUCGUGACUUUUAUUCUCGCUCGGCCUCUGGGACUCAGAGUGCACAACUCUGCCUCCCUCAUUUCCCCGCCGCCUUCUCUCCUUAUAUUUUGGGAGGCAGGAGGAGGAGGGAGGGGGGGAGAAACUCACUUGCCAUUGACUUCUUACCCUUUUUUUUAUGUAUUAUUUUCUUCUUUUUUUAUUACUCCAGUACCCCUUAUUAAAACCAUUAGUCCAGUGUUGGAACUACAAUCCAGUGCCAACUUGAAAGCUUCUCGGAGACAUAAAAGCACUUUUCGUUGCAUUUGAUCUGGUGGCUAAAGGACACGAUCAAUGUCCGCAUCCAGUCAUGGGACUCGGCUUACGGCGGUGACCGGGGUGGUGUGAUUUUCAUGUUUAUGACUAAAACCACUUCAUAUUUAGACAGGGCUUAUGAGGGUGUUAAAAUAGUGUGAGUUCACCCCUAAAACGAACAGUGCCCUCAUUGUGAAAGAGCCGAGUAUAAGGCGUAGCAUCUAGACUCUGCUUAAUCCUUCCUCAAUAAAGCUGACAUAAUGAUCCUAAGCCGCCUUUCUACAAAUUCAUUCAGGGAUUCAAAACUUUUUCCUUCUCUCUCUCUCUCUCUCUCUCUGCGAUUUGCACAUUCUCUCCGGAUCUGGACCGACUGACCGCCAACCUCAAGCUUGGAGCUUUCUGAAGGACUAGUGAGUAUGCCACAGCUCCCUAUGCUGCAUGCGUGACCAACACCUGUUUUGGCACUUAACGCGCUCAACGUCGGCGCUGCGGCGCGAAUUUGCGCGCUUUUACGCACGGAGCGUCUUGGAGCCGCUCAGGUGUCUUGCGUGUGGAAAGUGUGCACGCCGCGGAGCCGGGGCUUGUGUGAUGAUCUUUGUUCAGGCGGGUUUUUUUGUUGUUGUUGUUUUGUUUUGUUUGUGCCUUAACUUGGCGCUUUGUGUGUGGGUGCGCGCGCGCGCGUUUGUGUAGUGGGUGGGAGGUGGAGGUGGGGCAGCAUGUUGGAUCAAACCUGUCCACUGUGCUGCUUGCACCAAACCCAGGAGGACUAAUUCCAAGUGGCACUUGAAUUGGCCCCAUUGCAAAGCUCUGUGGACUGGAAGUAAAGGCUGGUAUUUUCAUGCUGGUGUUAAAACCAACCUUCCAGCCUAUAACCCCUCUCUCUCUCUCUCUUUCUCUCCCUCGCCUUCUCUCUUACGCGCACACACACACACAAACACGCGCGCUCAUGCACAACCCCAGGUUGUGACUGUUUGGCUUAGCAAGACUACUUCAGGAAUAUGCAAACACCUGACUGGGCGCACCGAAUUGGUUGAUCACAACUCAAACCGAGGCUCCAGGUAUUACCCCGCAUUACGUCGUUCGGCUUUUUGUUGUUUUUCUUCUUCCUGUUUUCAGGGGAGUCCCAUUUGUGGAGUUGAACCUCGCAUGGCAAUUCGGAAAUCACUCCAAAAUCUAAGAAGGAGACUAGAUUGUGAAAUGUAAAACCUGAAUGAAUGGGGAUUUGAGAGAGAGAGAGAGAGAAAGAGAGGAAAGCCUGUGGUAAUUCACAUUCUUUUACAUGGCUUUUGUUUACGUUAAGCGUGUAAUUAACACCUCUCCCCCCUCCCACUCCCCUCUAACAAGUUUAUUCACCUGGCGUAAUUGUGUGUUUAUCGCUGAAUGUUCCUAACAGCGGGGGGGUGACGGGAGCUCUGAAUGCGCGGAGAGAAUCUGGUGAGUUCUCCGUUUGCUAACAGCCUUAAAAAACCCCAAAACAAACAAACAAAAAAAACUCCAUAAGGAACAACAACAAACACAAACAAGAGUCUGCCGCGCCGGAGCACUAAAGCGGCUGGUAAGCGGCUCCCCCCACCACACACACAUGUCUUCUUGGAGGUGUUCUAUUAUUUGUGCGCAACGCUGUUUAAGAAAAUAAGUUUCUGCAAAAUAAAUAAAUAAAUAAAUAAAUGUUUAUUUUGGCAGUCGAUACAGAGACACCCAUUGGAUCCGAGGCGUUAUUCGCCAUCCUGAUUAUUCACUGCUUACUGUCUGUUUGUCCUUAUCAGUCUGUCCCAAUGAGGAAAGCAAAUAAACAAAGAUGAUGUUACGUCAUGUGAGGGGGUGAGAGAGAGAGAGAGAGAGAGAGAGAGAUGGGCACUGGAUGAGAGAAAGAAAUUUAAAAAAAGGUGUUGGCUGAAAAAGGUAUAACAGGAAAAGAGAAAGAAGGCACGAAAGUAAGGAUCUUCUUUUAUUUCAGUUAUUUAUUUAUUUUUCUCCCCCUGCUCCCUCGUUGACCUUCUGUUUGGAGAGAGGAAGGCAGCAGCACAGCACUGCUCACUGGCAAACACAGGAGAGAGGCGCCCGGUGCUGCAGCUGCUGCUGCUGCUGCUGCUGCUGCUGCUGCUGCAACCGGGAUUCACCUCAUCUACACAGGACGGGAUCCUGGAUUGAUCACGGUCUUCCAAAAACUGUCAAGAUUUAAGCCUGGUUGGAGGCGGCACAGGCUCCGCGCUAACUCGGUGGAAAUUCAGCUGCAACUCCUCCGCCUGGUGCAGCAAUGUGACAGAGAGGGGCAGCGCCGGAGGAGGCCGGGUGUUCACUCUUCCAGGAUGCAGAAGUUACGCCUCCCGAAGCACAAAGACUCCGUUAAAGCUUCUAAAGUCUCCAAUCAACCAACAUGAGUGAUCCAUAGCUGAAGUGUCCCUCCUACUCUGUAUGUAGUAUUUGUCGCAGUGAUCCAAAUACCAUUGUCUCACAUUUUGAUUGUUGCUUUUGCAUGACCAGCAAGUUCUUCUUCUCUCUCUCUCUUUCUCUCUGUCUGUCUCCGCGUUUCUCUCCUUCUCCUCCUUGACUGCAGCUUUUGACAUUACUCCACUCGAUUGCCCGUUUACCCCCGAGUCAAGUUUGAGGCGGGUAUGAAGUGUAAAAGAGGUGGGCCAUGUCAUAUCCGCUCAGUGUGCAUGGGAUUGUUGGCAUGCACGGCGGUGAUCAUUGUUCAGGGAGAACAAUUCUUGCUCAGAGCAGGCAGGGAAAAGUGAGGAGGAUGGUGGAGAACUGGGGCUGAUGAAACGAUUUGUUCACAGGUUUUUCAGCAGUGGCAGUGUGAUUAUAUCACAAGCACAUUUUUUUGCUUGCUUGUUUGUUUUUAAGCCACAUUUGUUCAUAGACAAAAUUCCACCAUCAUAUUUGCUAAACUUGAGUAACAUUUCCCUCUCCUUCCUGGACACAAAGGUAAUUUCAGUAUAAUAUGAUGCAUAUUAAGAUAUUGAAACACUUAUAUAUUAUCUAUUCUACACUGAUAAAACAAAAUAUUAGAAUUGAAUACUUACAAUUGAUGAAGCACUUUGCUUAUAUUCACUUUGGAGGCUUUCUGAGUUGAUUGAUUUAAGCUCAACAGUCAGCAUGUAGAUUAGUGACUCAGCUAGUUAACUAGUUAGCACGGUUCUUUUCCUUAUUUGUCCUCCACGGUGGGAAAGAAGAACAAAAAACUUUUUUUUUUGUGUUUAAAGAAUGAAAUGUUACUGAUACAAUUUAGUAAAUCUUUUCUAACAAGAUUUUCCCUACCAACAAAGUUAUGCCACUUGUUUCUUCAUGGUUUAUCCGCACGUUAGCAUGUUCAACAGUAGCUUUAGCAUUGUUGCUAAACUACUUCAAGAUGGAUACAAACUUAAAUUGUUGUUGCAGUGCACUAUUUCAACCAAAAAUCUCCAGGUAAUUGUUCAUUUUAAGAUCUUCAUAUCACACACACACACACACACACACACACAUAUAUAUAUAUAUAAGCUUUAAUGUGGGUGUAUAAGGAGUAGAAUAAAGUUUGACUGACUCAACAUCUUCACUUCCGUUUUUCUCAAAUGUUUAAGUAGAAAUUUUAUUAAAGUAACACAAUAUUUGUAUAAUUUAACCACAAUUUUACAUUGCAUAAACAAACUAAUAUAGGUGACCAAAAUCUACAAAUAUUAAUGGGUACAAUUUAUUCAAUUUUUAUGUGAACUUAAACAUUUACUGGAUGGAUCUGUUGUACUAGAGAGAGAGUUCUUAUUUUGAACUCCAUGUUGACUGAAAAUUAAUUAUCUUGAAUCUUUCAGCACAAACAAAUUGAAUCUCUAAAACAUUGAGAUCAGAAUCAGAAUGCUUUUAUUCGUAUGGUACCGAGGCGAUAACAAUACAAUUAAUUUAAGUACAUUAUAAGAAUUUGAUGUUUGCAGUUUUAAGGAAAUUUAUUUUCCAGUCUAAUGACGUAAGUCCACUCUGAAGUGUACUAUUACAGCUAAGUAGUAGAGUACACAUGUUUAUUGCGCACAAAUAAAAUAAGUCUCACUGACCUAAAAUUAACGUCACCGUUUUAGUGAUUAAUCAGGCAUUUACCUCUCACGUGGUUGCUAUAGGCAAUAGGUUAACACCUUAUCCUUUACAUUAUGGGGUCUCAGGUUUGUUUGUUUUCAUCGAGCGGCUUGGACUCACCAGCCAAUCAGAGGUGUUGUCCGAAAUCAACUGUCCCGUAACUGGAAACUAUAGACAAGUCUUAUUUACGGCUGAGCAGAGCCCGUCCGAUCUGAUUAUGGUCGGUAUAUUGGAUCAAUAACUGAUGUCUGAGAGAACCGAGAAGGGUGGAGUGCAGGGACAGGAGGGAAGCAAAGGUGCAACAGGUCACUCAUUAGAAAGGAUGAGCCAUUGAACUCUUUAUUAUUAUUAUUAUUAGUAGUAUUAGUAGUAGUAUUAAAUAAUAAUAAUAAUUAUUAUUAUUAUUAG